rnacentral:rRNA from 1 species
GACGAACGCUGGCGGCGUGCUUAACACAUGCAAGUCGAACGCUGAAGCUUGGUGCUUGCACUGGGUGGAUGAGUGGCGAACGGGUGAGUAAUAAGUGAGUAACCUGCCCUUGACUCUGGGAUAAGCCUGGGAAACUGGUUCUAAUACUGGAUACGACAUGUCACCGCAUGGUGGUGUGUGGAAUGGGUUUUACUGGUUUUGGAUGGGCUCACGGCCUAUCAGCUUGUUGGUGGGGUAAUGGCUCACCAAGGCGACGACGGGUAGCCGGCCUGAGAGGGUGACCGGCCACAAUGGGACUGAGAGACGGCCCAGACUCCUACGGGAGGCAGCAGUGGGGAAUAUUGCACAAUGGGCGGAAGCCUGAGGCAGCGACGCCGCGUGAGGGAUGACGGCCUUCGGGUUGUAAACCUCUUUCAGCACGGAAGAAGCGAAAGUGACGGUACGUGCAGAAGAAGCGCCGGCUAACUACGUG